rnacentral:rRNA from 1 species
CCAAUAGCGUAUAUUAAAGUUGUUGCGGUUAAAAAGCUCGUAGUUGAAUUUCGAGACCGGCCUACUGGUCGUGCUUUUGUACGUACUGGUAUAUCGGUUUCUCCUUUCUGACGAACUAUAAUGCCAUUAAUUUGGUGUUAUAGGGAAUCAGGACUGUUACUUUUAAAAAAUUAGAGUGUUUAAAGCAGCCUCACGCUUGAAUACAUUAGCAUGGAAUUACGGAAUAGGACGUUUGCUUCUAUUUUGUUGGUUUCUAGGAUCGACGUAAUGAUUAAUAGGGAUAGUUGGGGGCAUUAGUAUUCAAUUGUCAGAGGUGAAAUUCUUGGAUUUAUUGAAGACUAACUACUGCGAAAGCAUUUGCCAAGGAUGUUUUCAUUAAUCAAGAACGAAAGUUAGGGGAUCGAAGACGAUCAGAUACCGUCGUAGUCUUAACCAUAAACUAUGCCGACUAGGGAUCGGAUGAUGUUAAUUUUUUAAUGACUCAUUCGGCGCCUUACG